rnacentral:rRNA from 1 species
CGACGCCGCGUGGGGGAUGAAGGCCUUCGGGUUGUAAACCCCUUUCAGGAGGGACGAAGCGAAAGUGACGGUACCUCCACAAGAAGCCCCGGCUAACUCCGUGCCAGCAGCCGCGGUAAUACGGAGGGUGCGAGCGUUAAUCGGAAUUACUGGGCGUAAAGCGCGCGUAGGCGGCUAGGUCAGUCGAAUGUGAAAGCCCCGGGCUUAACCUGGGAAUUGCACUCGAUACUGCCUGGCUAGAGUAUGGGAGAGGGAAGUGGAAUUUCCGGUGUAGCGGUGAAAUGCGUAGAUAUCGGAAGGAACACCAGUGGCGAAGGCGACUUCCUGGCCCAAUACUGACGCUGAGGUGCGAAAGCGUGGGUAGCGAACAGGAUUAGAUACCCUGGUAGUCCACGCCGUAAACGAUGAGAACUAGAUGUUGGGAGGGUUUGCCUCUCGGUGUCGCAGCUAACGCGAUAAGUUCUCCGCCUGGGGAGUACGGCCGCAAGGUUAAAACUCAAAUGAAUUGACGGGGGCCCGCACAAGCGGUGGAGCAUGUUGUUUAAUUCGAUGCAACGCGAAGAACCUUACCACCCCUUGACAUCCACGGAACUUGGUAGAGAUACCUUGGUGCCUUCGGGAACCGUGUGACAGGUGCUGCAUGGCUGUCGUCAGCUCGUGUCGUGAGAUGUUGGGUUAAGUCCCGUAACGAGCGCAACCCUUGUCCUUAUUUGCCAGCGG